rnacentral:rRNA from 1 species
GAUGAACGCUGGCGGCGUGCCUAAUACAUGCAAGUCGAGCGAACAGAUGAGGAUCUUGCUCCUCUGACGUUAGCGGCGGACGGGUGAGUAACACGUGGAUAACCUACCUAUAAGACUGGGAUAACUUCGGGAAACCGGAGCUAAUACCGGAUAAUAUAUUGAACCGCAUGGUUCAAUAGUGAAAGACGGUUUUGCUGUCACUUAUAGAUGGAUCCGCGCCGCAUUAGCUAGUUGGUAAGGUAACGGCUUACCAAGGCAACGAUGCGUUGCCGACCUGAGAGGGUGAUAGGCCACACUGGAACUGAGACACGGUCCAGACUACUACGGGAGGCGGCAGUAGGGAAUCUUCCGCAAUGGGCGAAAGCAUGACGGAGCAACGCCGCGUGAGUAAUGAAGGUCUUCGGAGCGUAAAACUCUGUUAUUAGUGAAGAACAAAUGUGUAAGUAACUAUGCACGUCUUGACGGUACCUAAUCAGAAAGCCACGGCUAACUACGUG